UUUAAAACUCAUAUAUAUUAGAUUCGGUAUCUAUCCCUAGGUCUUAUAUAUUAGAACCUAGCUCAUCUGAGUAUUGAAAACACUUAUCUCAACAAAACAAAAAAAUGUCUUUACCAACAAAAAUGCCUUUGACAACAGAAACACAAGAUGAAAGCACCGAACCCCUUUGUGUUACGACGGCUAUGUGGGAGACUUUGGAGAAGGAGAGAUUGAUGGGUUUUCGUGUAUUCACACGUGGGAUUUGGUUCGGCAUCACGGCCUUCUUUGCAGUUAUGCUACUCAGGUGUUUGUUCUUUGUCGAACGUCCCAGCCCCAAUUCCCCGGUUCUAAAAUGUAUCAGAUUUGUGACAUCCUUGAUCAUAUUGUCAUUCAUGUUUUAUGUUCCUUUUAACUAUCCUACCAUGGAUGUUCUCAUCUCGACGUUUUCAUUGCUUGCCGGAGGAAUCUCAAUCUAUCAUCUCUCUUGCACGAUGGACAUUGGACAUGCUAUUCUACUCCUUUUUCUUGGCUUUGCUAAUGGUUAUUUAGCCGUCGACUUUGCUUCUCAAAACCAUGACCCAUCCUAUGGAGUUUACUUGAUUUUUUUCUUUCAGUCCAUUGUCUACGCUUAUAAUUUCAAUUUUCUAGCUAAUAUAAACUAGUUCUAGUACAUAGAUUAUGUUUUUUAAUUUAAUAUCUGGUUGAAGUUUAAUAAAACUACAAGUAGUUUCCGUUUA